rnacentral:rRNA from 1 species
UUUAUUGGAGAGUUUGAUCCUGGCUCAGGAUGAACGCUGGCGGCGUGCCUAAUACAUGCAAGUCGAGCGAAUGGAUUAAGAGCUUGCUCUUAUGAAGUUAGCGGCGGACGGGUGAGUAACACGUGGGUAACCUGCCCAUAAGACUGGGAUAACUCCGGGAAACCGGGGCUAAUACCGGAUAAUAUUUUGAACCGCAUGGUUCGAAAUUGAAAGGCGGCUUUGGCUG